AAGGCUUAGAAAUUCUUCUAUUUUUAACUUUGAAGGUUACUAGUUUAUUUAACUUAAAUCC
rnacentral:tRNA from 1 species